GAUGAAGAACGCAGCGAAAUGCGAUAAGUAGUGUGAAUUGCAGAAUUCAGUGAAUCAUCGAAUCUUUGAACGCACAUUGCGCCCCUUGGUAUUCCAUGGGGCAUGCCUGUUCGAGCGUCAUUUGUACCUUCAAGCCUUGCUUGGUGUUGGGUGUUUGUCUCGCCUCUGCGCGCAGACUCGCCUCAAAACAAUUGGCAGCCGGCGUAUUGAUUUCGGAGCGCAGUACAUCUCGCGCUUUGCACUCACAACGGCGGCGUCCAAAAGUACAUUUUUACACUCUUGACCUCGGAUCAGGUAGGGAUACCCGCUGAAGUUAAGCAUAUCAAUAAGCGGAGGA
rnacentral:misc_RNA from 1 species